GUGGACGCCAGUCUGCGUGGAGCCGACCUUGAAAUACCACCCUUUAAUGUUUGAUGUUCUAACGUGGACCCGUAAUCCGGGUUGCGGACAGUGUCUGGUGGGUAGUUUGACUGGGGCGGUCUCCUCCUAAAGAGUAACGGAGGAGCACGAAGGUUGGCUAAUCCUGGUCGGACAUCAGGAGGUUAGUGCAAUGGCAUAAGCCAGCUUGACUGCGAGCGUGACGGCGCGAGCAGGUGCGAAAGCAGGUCAUAGUGAUCCGGUGGUUCUGAAUGGAAGGGCCAUCGCUCAACGGAUAAAAGGUACUCCGGGGAUAACAGGCUGAUACCGCCCAAGAGUUCAUAUCGACGGCGGUGUUUGGCACCUCGAUGUCGGCUCAUCACAUCCUGGGGCUGAAGUAGGUCCCAAGGGUAUGGCUGUUCGCCAUUUAAAGUGGUACGCGAGCUGGGUUUAGAACGUCGUGAGACAGUUCGGUCCCUAUCUGCCGUGGGCGCUGGAGAACUGAGGGGGGCUGCUCCUAGUACGAGAGGACCGGAGUGGACGCAUCACUGGUGUUCGGGUUGUCAUGCCAAUGGCACUGCCCGGUAGCUAAAUGCGGAAGAGAUAAGUGCUGAAAGCAUCUAAGCACGAAACUUGCCCCGAGAUGAGUUCUCCCUGAGACUUAGAGUCUCCUGAAGGAACGUUGAAGACGACGACGUUGAUAGGCCGGGUGUGUAAGCGCAGC
rnacentral:rRNA from 1 species